rnacentral:rRNA from 1 species
CCGGGAGGGGAGUGAAACAGUACCUGAAACCGUGCGCCCACGAGCAGUCGGAGCAACUUUAUGUUGUGACGGCGUGCCUUUUGUAGAAUGAGCCAGCGAGUCGCUGGCGCGGGGCGAGGUUAACCGAAAGGGAGCCGGAGCGAAAGCGAGCCUUAACAGGGCGACUUGAGUCCCGCGCCGCGGACGCGAAGCCGGGUGAGCUAUCCGUGGGCAGGCUGAAGCGGGGGUAAGACCCCGUGGAGGGCCGAACGCACGUCGGUUGAAAACGGCGGCGAUGACCUGCGGAUAGGGGUGAAAGGCCAAUCAAACCCGGAGAUAUCUCGUUCUCCCCGAAAUAGCUUUAGGGCUAGCGUCGCGCGUUCACCGCCGGAGGUAGAGCACCGGAUGGACGAGGGGGCUUCGCCGCCUACCGAAUCCAACCGAACUCCGAAUGCCGGCGGCCCAGAGCGCGGCAGUCAGAGCAUGUGGGCUAAGCUGUGUGCUCGAGAGGGAAACAGCCCGGACCGCCCGCUAAGGUCCCCAAGUUCCAGCCGAGUGGCAAAGGAUGUGCGUCCGCCCAGACAACCAGGAUGUUGGCUUAGAAGCAGCCAUGCAUUCAAAGAGUGCGUAACAGCUCACUGGUCGAGUGGACAUGCGCCGACAAUACACGGGGCUAAGCUGGACACCGAAGCGGCGGGAUUUUAAUUCAUUAGAAUCGGUAGGGGAGCUUCCCAUGGGCGGAGAAGCCGGAGGGCGACCGACGGUGGAGCGCAUGGGAGUGAGAAUGCUGGCAUGAGUAGCGAGAGACGAGAGAGUAACUCGUCCGCCGUGAACCCGAGGUUUCCUGGGCAAGGCUAAUCCUCCCAGGGUCAGUCGGGGGCUAAGGCGAGGCCGGAAGGCGUAGCCGACGCGCAGCAGGCAGACAUUCCUGCACCGCGCACGCGGCGCUACGACCGACGGGGCGACGGAUGGGGGUGGCUCGGCGGGGUUCUGGACGUCCCCGUGAUGGAGCGCGGCCCGCGGACCAGGGAAAUCCGGUCCGCACGAGGGCGAGGCUCCGGACGAAGCGAUCAAGCGAAGCGAGUGAGCCCGAGGUCCCUAGAAAAACCCCUAGGCAGGCGCGUGCGCGCCCGUACCGCAAACCGACACAGGUGGGUGGGUAGAACAUACCGAGGCGAUCGGGUCAACCAUGGUCAAGGAACUCGGCACAAUGGCCCCGUAACUUCGGGAGAAGGGGUGCCCGCGCGUACGUGAACCGGCUUGCCCGGGGAGCGGAGGCGGGCCGCAGUGGAGAGGCCCAAGCGACUGUUUACCAAAAACACAGGACUCUGCAGAAGCCGCAAGGCGACGUAUAGGGUCUGACGCCUGCCCGGUGCCGGAAGGUCACGCGGAGGAGUUAGCCGUUAAGGCGAAGCCCCGAAGCCAAGCCCCGGUAAACGGCGGCCGUAACUAUAACGGUCCUAAGGUAGCGAAAUUCCUUGUCGGGUAAGUUCCGACCUGCACGAAAGGCGCAACGACUUGGGCGCUGUCUCGACCAUGGACCCGGUGAAAUUGCACUGGUCGUGAAGAUGCGACUUACCCGCGGAAGGACGGAAAGACCCCGUGAACCUUCACUGCAGCUUGGCAUUGGCCGCUGGUCCCGCGUGUAGAGGAUAGGCAGGAGGCUAAGAUCCGGAGGCGCCAGCCCCCGGGGAGCCGCCCUUGGAAUACUGCCCUCGCGCGACCGGCGUCCUAACCCGAGGCCGUCAACCGGCUCGGGGACCGUGCCAGGCGGGCAGUUUGACUGGGGCGGUCGCCUCCUAAAGGGUAACGGAGGCGCGCGAAGGUCCGCUCGGGACGGUCGGCAACCGUCCUUUUGAAUGCAAGAGUACAAGCGGGCUUGACUGCGAGGCCCACAAGCCGAGCAGGUGCGAAAGCAGGCUCUAGUGAUCCGGCGGCCCCGAGUGGGUGGGCCGUCGCUCAACGGAUAAAAGGUACUCCGGGGAUAACAG